rnacentral:rRNA from 1 species
AAGCUCGUAGUUGAAUUUCGGGGUUAGUAGGUUGGUCAUGCCUCUGGUAUGUACUGGUCUCACUGAUUCCUCCUUCCUUAUGAACCGUAAUGCCAUUAAUUUGGUGUUGCGGGGAAUUUGGACUGUUACUUUGAAAAAAUUAGAGUGUUUAAAGCAAGCUAACGCUGAAUACAUUAGCAUGGAAUAAUGAAAUAGGACGUUCGAUCUUAUUUUGUUGGUUUCUAGGAUUGACGUAAUGAUUAAUAGGGAUAGUUGGG